GUUCCUGGUUCUCCAGCAGGAACUGAGAGCAAGGGUCAGGAGGCGACAGGUCCAAGUACAGUAGACACUCAAAGUGAACCCUCAGAUAUGAAAGAGCCAGAUGAAGAAAAGAAUGACCAACAGGGAGAGGCAUUGGACUCAUUGCAGAAGAGAAAGAACAAGAAAAAGAAAAAGAAGAGGAAAAAAUCCCCAGUACCCAUAGAAACCCUUAAAGAUGUUUAAAAAGAGUUAACUUAUCAGAACACAGAUUUAAGUGAAAUUAAGGAAGAAGAGCAGGUAAAGUCUACUGACAGAAAGUCAGCAGUGGAAGCCCAAAACGAGGUGACUGAAAAUCCAAAACAGAAAAUUGCAGCAGAAAGCAGUGAAAAUGUUGAUUGUCCAGAGAAUCCUAAAAUGAAGUUGGAUGGAAAACUUGACCAAGAAGGCAAUGAUGUAAAAACAGCAGCUGAGGAGGUACUAGCUGGUAGAGACACAUUAGAUUUUGAGGAUGUCACAGUUCAAUCAUCAGGCCCGAGGGCUGGUGGUGAAGAAUUAGAUGAAGGUGUUGCAAAAGAUAAUGCUAAAAUAGCUGGUGCCACUUAAAGCAAUCCUGAAGAACCAGAGAGCGAAGAUGCAGAUCACUGCACCGUACCCAAAAAUGAAAGUCCCUCACAGGACAUUAGUGAUGCCUGUGAAGCAGAAAGUACAGAGAGGUGUGGGAUGUCAGAACAUCCAAGUCAGACCAUCAGGAAAGCUUUAGACAGCAAUAGCCUAAAAAACCAUGACUUGUUGGCACCAGGAGGAGAGCCGGGGGACUUCAAUCCAGAAAGCAGAGAAGAUACCAGAGGAGGGAACGAGAAGGGCAAAAGCAAAGAAGACCGUACCAUGUCCUAAGCUGAGGCAGGCGGCAGGCGUGGUGCACAGGAAGUCUGAGUGUGAGGGGCUCUUUUCUCUCCACUGCCAAUGACAGCCUUUCCUGCCUCAGGGAAGAAGAGAGAGACAGACUACAGUGAUGGAGACCCACUAGAUGUGCACAAGAGGCUGCCAUCCAGUGCUGGAGAGGACCGAGCCGUGAUGCUGGGGUUUGCCAUGAUGGGCUUCUCAGUCCUAAUGUUCUUCUUGCUCGGAACAACCAUUCUAAAGCCUUUUAUGCUCAGCAUUCAGAGAGAAGAAUCGACCUGCACUGCCAUCCACACAGAUAUCAUGGACGACUGGCUGGACUGUGCCUUCACCUGUGGUGUGCACUGCCACGGUCAGGGGAAGUACCCGUGUCUUCAGGUGUUUGUGAACCUCAGCCAUCCAGGUCAGAAAGCUCUCCUACAUUAUAAUGAAGAGGCUGUCCAGAUAAAUCCCAAGUGCUUUUACACACCUAAGUGCCACCAAGAUAGAAAUGAUUUGCUCAACAGUGCUCUGGACAUAAAAGAAUUCUUCGAUCACAAAAAUGGAACCCCCUUUUCAUGCUUCUACAGUCCAGCCAGCCAAUCUGAAGAUGUCAUUCUUAUAAAAAAGUAUGACCAAAUGGCUAUCUUCCACUGUUUAUUUUGGCCUUCACUGACUCUGCUAGGUGGUGCCCUGAUUGUUGGCAUGGUGAGAUUAACACAACACCUGUCCUUACUGUGUGAAAAAUAUAGCACUGUAGUCAGAGAUGAGGUAGGUGGAAAAGUACCUUAUAUAGAACAGCAUCAGUUCAAACUGUGCAUUAUGAGGAGGAGCAAAGGAAGAGCAGAGAAAUCUUAAGACGGUGGCCAAAUUAAAGUGCUGGCCUUCAGAUGUCUGUGAUUUCUGCAACUGAGGACCUAAUUAUGCCUGUCUGCAAACUAAUAAUGUAAAAGCGUGAUGUUACAGACUGCAGAGUUAAAGAAAAGCAGACAUUGACAGUUUCUGAUGAGCAUAAACAGUAAGUGCAGUCACAGGCCAAACUUCUUGCUAGGAACAGCAAGACUGGGAAGAGGUCUUAAAUUUAGUGAUACUGUUAUUAUUCUAUAUUCUCAAUAUAGUAACACAUGCAUCUUGCUGUGUCAAAUGCUUUCUGGGCCAUCAUUAAAAGGACAUUAAAAACGUUUUUCUUCUAAUGAAUGCAGUAUACCACAGGACUUCAAUUCACUGAAUGACAAAAUAUAGAGAAAUAAACUUGCUACAAUUAAUGGGGCCAAAAGGGUGGUUCGAAUUUCUUGAUAAAGCUUCCAGGUGAACA